CGAUCGGGGGGCAGGCCUAACCAUGCAAGUCGAGCGGAUGAAGGGAGCUUGCUCCUGGAUUCAGCGGCGGACGGGUGAGUAAUGCCUAGGAAUCUGCCUGGUAGUGGGGGAUAACGUCCGGAAACGGGCGCUAAUACCGCAUACGUCCUGAGGGAGAAAGUGGGGGAUCUUCGGACCUCACGCUAUCAGAUGAGCCUAGGUCGGAUUAGCUAGUUGGUGGGGUAAAGGCCUACCAAGGCGACGAUCCGUAACUGGUCUGAGAGGAUGAUCAGUCACACUGGAACUGAGACACGGUCCAGACUCCUACGGGAGGCAGCAGUGGGGAAUAUUGGACAAUGGGCGAAAGCCUGAUCCAGCCAUGCCGCGUGUGUGAAGAAGGUCUUCGGAUUGUAAAGCACUUUAAGUUGGGAGGAAGGGCAGUAAGUUAAUACCUUGCUGUUUUGACGUUACCAACAGAAUAAGCACCGGCUAACUUCGUGCCAGCAGCCGCGGUAAUACGAAGGGUGCAAGCGUUAAUCGGAAUUACUGGGCGUAAAGCGCGCGUAGGUGGUUCAGCAAGUUGGAUGUGAAAUCCCCGGGCUCAACCUGGGAACUGCAUCCAAAACUACUGAGCUAGAGUACGGUAGAGGGUGGUGGAAUUUCCUGUGUAGCGGUGAAAUGCGUAGAUAUAGGAAGGAACACCAGUGGCGAAGGCAACCACCUGGACUGAUACUGACACUGAGGUGCUAAAGCGUGGGGAGAAAACAGAUUAUAUACCCUGUUUAUU
rnacentral:rRNA from 1 species